rnacentral:tRNA from 1 species
GGAGAGAUGGUCGAGGGGUUAAUGGCGGCAGACUGUAAAUCUGUUCUCUUUAUGAGUACGUUGGUUCAAAUCCAGCUCUCUCCA